rnacentral:rRNA from 1 species
UAGGGAAUCUUCCGCAAUGGGCGAAAGCUUGACGGAGCAACGCCGCGUGAGUGAUGAAGGUCUUCGGAUCGUAAAACUCUGUUAUUAGGGAAGAACAAAUGUGUAAGUAACAAUGCACGUCUUGACGGUACCUAAUCAGAAAGCCACGGCUAACUACGUGCCAGCAGCCGCGGUAAUACGUAGGUGGCAAGCGUUAUCCGGAAUUAUUGGGCGUAAAGCGCGCGUAGGCGGUUUUUUAAGUCUGAUGUGAAAGCCCACGGCUCAACCGUGUAGGGUCAUUGGAAACUGGAAAACUUGAGUGCAGAAGAGGAAAGUGGAAUUCCAUGUGUAGCGGUGAAAUGCGCAGAGAUAUGGAGGAACACCAGUGGCGAAGGCGACUUUCUUGUCUGUAACUGUCGCUGAUGUGCGAAAGCGUGGGGAUCAAACAGG